rnacentral:rRNA from 1 species
GAUGAACGCUGGCGGCGUGCCUAAUACAUGCAAGUCGAGCGAACAGACGAGGAGCUUGCUCCUCUGACGUUAGCGGCGGACGGGUGAGUAACACGUGGAUAACCUACCUAUAAGACUGGGAUAACUUGGGAAACCGGAGCUAAUACCGGAUAAUAUAUUGAACCGCAUGGUUCAAUAGUGAAAGACGGUUUUGCUGUCACUUAUAGAUGGAUCCGCGCCGCAUUAGCUAGUUGGUAAGGUAACGGCUUACCAAGGCAACGAUGCGUAGCCGACCUGAGAGGGUGAUCGGCCACACUGGAACUGAGACACGGUCCAGACUCCUACGGGAGGCAGCAGUAGGGAAUCUUCCGCAAUGGGCGAAAGCCUGACGGAGCAACGCCGCGUGAGUGAUGAAGGUCUUCGGAUCGUAAAACUCUGUUAUUAGGGAAGAACAAAUGUGUAAGUAACUAUGCACGUCUUGACGGUACCUAAUCAGAAAGCCACGGCUAACUACGU